ACUGCUCAGUAACACGUCGAUAAUCUGCCCUACAGUCAGUGAAAGCUACGCGAAAGUGUGGGUAAACACCGAUAGGCAAAGAACGCUGCAACGCGUCAUUGCCGAAAUUCGUGCUGUAGGAUGAGUCGGCGGCUGAUUAGGUAGUUGGCGGGGUAAUGGCCCACCAAGCCUUGGAUCAGUACGGGCCAUGAAAGUGGUAGCCCGGAGAGGGACACUGAGAUACUGGUCCCAGCCCUACGGGGUGCAGCAGGCGCGAAAACCCUCCAAUGUGCGAAAGCGUGAGAGGGGAAUUCACAGUGCUUACGGUCUAGCCGUAGGCUUUUGCCACGUGUAAAUAACUUGGCGAAUAAGUGGUGGGCAAGACUGGUGCCAGCCGCCGCGGUAACACCAGCGCCACGAGUGGCUAUCGCGAUUAUUGGGCCUAAAGCGUCCGUAGUCGGUUCUGUACAUCCUCUGUGAAAUCGCAGCGCUCAACGUUGCGGCAUGCGGGGGACACGGCAGAACUUGAGACCGGGAGGCGUGUAGGGUAUUCCACGGGGACCGGUAAAAUGGUAUAAUCCGUGGAGGACCACCUGUGGCGAAGGCGCUACACGAGAACGGAUCUGACGAUGAGGGACGAAAGCCAGGGGAGCAAACCGGAUUAGAUACCCGAGUAGUCCUGGCCGUAAACGCUGUCUGCUAGGUGUUGCAACGACU
rnacentral:rRNA from 1 species